rnacentral:rRNA from 1 species
CCUACGGGUGGCUGCAGUGAGGAAUAUUGGUCAAUGGGCGCGAGCCUGAACCAGCCAAGUAGCGUGAAGGAUGACUGCCCGAUGGGUUGUAAACUUCUUUUAUAUGGGAAUAAAGUGCAGUAUGUAUACUGCUUUGCAUGUACCUUAUGAAUAAGGAUCGGCUAACUCCGUGCCAGCAGCCGCGGUAAUACGGAGGAGCCGAGCGUUAUCCGGAUUUAGUGGGGUGAAAGGGAGCGUAGGCGGGUUGUUAAGUCAGUUGUGAAAGUUUGCGGCUCAACCGUAAAAUUGCAGUUGAUACUGGCAUCCUUGAGUACAGUAGAGGUAGGCGGAAUUCGUGGUGUCGCGGUGAAAUGCUUAGAUAUCACUCAGACCACCGAUUGCGAAGGCAUCUCACUAAUCCGCGAUUGACGCUGAUGCACGAAAGCGUGGGUAUCAAACAGGAUUAGAUACCCUUGUAGUC